AACGAACGCUGGCGGCAUGCCUAACACAUGCAAGUCGAACGAGACCUUCGGGUCUAGUGGCGCACGGGUGCGUAACGCGUGGGAACCUGCCCUUAGGUUCGGCAUAACUCCCCGAAAGGGGUGCUAAUACCGGAUAAUGUCUUCGGACCAAAGAUUUAUCGCCUUUGGAUGGGCCCGCGUUGGAUUAGCUAGUUGGUAGGGUAAAAGCCUACCAAGGCGACGAUCCAUAGCUGGUCUGAGAGGAAGAUCAGCCACACUGGGACUGAGACACGGCCCAGACUCCUACGGGAGGCAGCAGUGGGGAAUAUUGGACCAUGGGCGAAAGCCUGAUCCAGCAAUGCCGCGUGAGUGAUGAAGGCCUUAGGGUUGUAAAGCUCUUUUAACCGGGAUGAUAAUGACAGUACCGGGAGAAUAAGCGCCGGCUAACUCCGUG
rnacentral:rRNA from 1 species